rnacentral:lncRNA from 1 species
GAUAUAAAUAUUUUAAAUGAUCAUGCAGCGACUAUCAAGAUGAAGAACUGAAAUAAAUCACUGUGUUCUUGAUAAUUUGUAUCUUGUUUAUAUGUAUUGUGUACGAUUUUGUCAUAUGCACAUUUACUAGAGAGCCUGUCGCAAUUACCGUGAUUUUUUGGACAACGGUUGUCUUGCAAGAAGGACCUGCUUACGCUUCUGGAGCACAUUUAGUUGCACCAGUUUUUUUUAGGGGUCCGUGUUUCUAAUUUGAUUUUAUAGUUUUCAAUGUUGAAUGGUGUUGUUUGUCCUUGUGUGUCUUAUUUGUUCUCUGGUUUGUCUUUUGUCCCUUGAUCGCGAUUCUUUUUUAAAAAUACAAUGUACUUUCUACAUAAAUUCUACACCAUUCCUACAGGUUUUCUAAAUUAUUGUAAUAAACAAUGGAAAGAGUAAAUCGGCGGUCUCACGAAAACCGCCUCCUGGUGAAGUAUAGAUAUGUGAAAUAAUGGUGAUUUAUGUUCGGGUUUUGUGUUACGGAAGGGCACUCAAAGAAAGGCACAGUGCAGAAAGGGGUAUGAAGCCUUAGAGGUCUUACGAAGUCCCGAACAUAACCAAUCCCGACUUUUAAUGAACAAUUCCGG